rnacentral:rRNA from 1 species
AACGAACGCUGGCGGCAUGCCUAACACAUGCAGGUCGAACGAGACCUUCGGGUCUAGUGGCGCACGGGUGCGUAACGCGUGGGAAUCUGCCCUUGGGUUCGGGAUAACUCGCCGAAAGGCGUGCUAAUACCGGAUGAUGUCGUAAGACCAAAGAUUUAUCGCCCAGGGAUGAGCCCGCGUAAGAUUAGGUAGUUGGUGAGGUAAAGGCUCACCAAGCCGAUGAUCUUUAGCUGGUCUGAGAGGAUGAUCAGCCACACUGGGACUGGGACACGGCCCAG